GGUCGCGUGGGAGGGCGUGGCCCAGCGUCCAGUGCCCGCGACGCCGGACAGUCCUGUAGACUACUGGGGCGGAGAGAGACGAAGCGGCCAGCAGAUGGCCACGCCACUCUGAGCCCCGGUAAGGAAACGUAAGUGUGGGGAAGUUACGACGGUCCCUUGCCUAGGUGCUUGGCCCUGGCCUGUCCUCGCCACACCUCCUGCCUACCACUGCCACGCCCCAACCGAUCCGUCACUUUGAUCGCCGCCGGUGGCUGCUGACGGAUGUCAAGGAGACUUCCAGCCUUUCCACGCCACGCUCGGAAUCAGGCUCCGAAAGCCAUGCGCGCCUGUAGGGGAGGUGGACGCGCCUCGCCGACUCCCGGAGGGUGCAGUCGUGCUCAGGGGGAGGGGACAUCCCUCUGGAAGCUGGCGUUUGUGGUGCUCCCGAGACGGGCGAGUGGAGAAGGCGGCUUUCCUGGCAACCUUCCCAGGCUGGGUGCUCAGAUUCAGCUCUCUGCACGUUUGCCUCGAGGUAGUCACGAAGGAAUCGAAGAGAGCCCCAGUGCUCGAGGAUUUUCCCUGUGAGCCUCUUCAGGCCAGUACAUGAUUCAUUCUUUCGCAGAACAACUUCGGAACUCGGUUUGCGCUAGGCAUAAACUCUAGUCUUGUCCCCAUGGAAUGCACCAUCAAGCAGCCAAGGUAGACGUGUAAAUAAACUUCGACACAGUGUGAUGACUGCAACAAAAGGAAGCAUUGUGAGGUUAAAUGUAAAAAUGUAACUUUAACGGCGGGGCGGGGGGAGGGGAGCGGGAGGAUGCGUGAAAGGCUUCCCGAGGUAAACGCUGCGAAAACGAGUUUGAAAGACCAAGUGAAAUUGCUCCAGAGCAUUUCCCGCAAAGAACGGAAGUGGUCCCUGACCUGAGUGGCGAAAUUGAAGAUAAACUGAACAGCUUUAUGUGAUUGACACAAGACGCGGAAGAGAUCUGGUCCUUAUGAAGAAUUCUGUGCUCGCUGUAAAGAUUUGUAGGAAUAAUGAAAUGCUUUCUUCAUUGAUGAGAUGAAGUCUCUGUUUUACAGGUAAGUUGACUGAACAAAACAAUGAAAAACGAACUUCUUUAGAAGGCUGAAUGAAAGUAAUAUCUAGCUGAAAAAGUCAUUGGCCAAAGAGAACUUUUAAAAAAACCAUUCUAUGUUUAACCCUAAAAAAACAAAAAACAAACAAACCAGAAAAAUAUUUUUAAAAAAAUGUACAUACAUUUUCACUGACAGUUAUAAGAAAAUAGCCAUUUAUAGAAGUUAAAAUGCUUUCAACAAAUUACCCCAAAAUUUUGGGAGACAAGAUAAAGCCAUCGGGUAAAUAAAUAUACAUACUAGCCAAUAUAAAACAAUUUCUAGUUUCAAAUUGUUAUCAAUUCUUUUAAGACCCAAGGAGAAAUUUGGUGAUAUAAAUCUGAUUAGGGCUACAUAUAUUACAUGUAAUUAAAAAACACAACUGAUUAAAACAUCCUAACAAUAAUACAAAUAUUUAAAAGAAUGUCUUAAAAGUCAGACACUUAUCACUGGAUAUACCACAAUUAUGUACUUCAGAGUUGUAAUGUGUAUAUAGGUCACUUUUGCUGUGUCUUAUCGGUAUCCAGCUCUCCUGCAUUUACUACAGUCAGUUUUUAAGAGUUCAUGUUUCCUGCGUGAUCUGAAGGGGCUGGGCACAUCUCAGUUCAUAAAAUAUACACCUCCGCUUAACUAAAUGGAAGUGUCUAAGAUAACAUCUACAGAGAAAGAAGGGGUAGUGAGAAGAUAAAUAUUAAAGUGGAAGAAAACUGGAUAGUUGUCUCUAUAAAUUUUAAAUUUUGUAUUAAAUUUAAAAUGACAAGUCAAUUAAUGAAGAAAAAUAAAUUGGUCUCAAGAAAUUUUCUCAGGCCAUACAAAAUUUCCCUUAGUUUACUUCUUUAUAGAAUUUUGUUAUGCUUGGUUCAUUUGUCAGUUGACUUUAGGGAAGUCUCCUUAGCAUGGGACUGAAAAUGGCUUUACAACUAAAUGAAAGAUGAUUAAAAGUUGGUGUUUAUUUAAAGUGCCCACAGGCACAAUGGUAAGGUGUUUACAUUUCCCUUUAAGUUAUGGGAAAGCCCUUUGAGACUGUAUUUACUUAAUCAGAAAAGCUUUCAGCAAUUCCAAUGCAUGCUGAAAGUUUAGAUCUUGUAUAGGUUUUGGGUUUUGCUGUUUGAGCAUAAAAAGGGAGCAAGGAGAAGUGUAACUAGGUUCACAAUUUUGAGCAAGAGCAUAUGUAAAGGUAACGUAUGUACAUUUUAUUUCAAGAAAGACAGAAGACAAACAGCAUAAAGAUGCCCAGAUGCCCUAAAGAUAAAUACAUUUCGAAGAUU